rnacentral:lncRNA from 1 species
GAAGAAUUAAAAAUUACUUGCUCUGGAGAAAUUAAUGACACUCAUUUUUAUCCCUGACUAGUGUCACCGGGGGAGAGGUUGCAGGAUACCUCAUUCCACCAGGGCUCUGCCUUAGUGCCAAUUUUGCUUAAGGAGGAGGAAUUCCUUGAGCUGAAAUAGAUUUCACUGAAGAAAAUGUCACUGCCCAGACAGGGCCAGCUCUACCCACCCUGAGUUCUGUGAGGACUGAGCUGCUGGCUUCAGCUGUUGGAAUUUUAAGAGAUUCACGUGCUGAUGAGAGCUCAGCAGGACCUACGGGAACGUGUCUCUUGCUUGCUGGUCCCUGGUAUGGGCAGCAGCUGGGAAUCUUCUGUUUUCCUGUAAAAUGGAUCCAGAGGCUGGUGCAAUGUCUCACUGGGCCGGUCUCCUCUCCACUGCUGCCAGAGUCAACCUGCUGGUGCUGCUGGUGUCUGUGCUGUUCUCCUGGUCAAGCCUGAGCGACAGAGUUCCUGAGUUUGCCCUUACAAAAAUAGAA